GCCAUAGGGAGCCAUAGGGAGCCAUAAGGGAGCCAUAGGGAGCCAUAAGGGAGCCAUAGGGAUCUGAUGCCGUGGGGAAGCAGGGAUCUGAUGCCAUAGGGAAGCAGGGAGCCAGGGCCAUAGGGAACCAAGGAUGUGAUGCUAUAGGGAAAUGGGGAUCCAAGGCCAUGGGGAAGCCGGGGGGGACACCAUAAGGAACUGAGGAUCCAACACCACAGAGAAUGGUGAUGUGAUGUCAUGGGGAACCGAGGAGUGAUUCUAUGGGGAGGCGGGGAUCUGGGGCCAUGGGGAGCCAGGGAGUCGGGGCCAUAGGGAGACAGGGAUCCAAGGCCAUAGGGAGCCAUAGGGAGCCAUAGGGAGCCAUAAGGGAGCCAUUGGGAGCCAUAGGGCGCCAUAGGGAGCCAUAGGGAUCUGAUGCCAUAGGGAAGCAGGGAUCCAAGGCCAUAGGGAUCCACAGGGAGCCAUUGGGAGCCAUAGGGAGCCAUUGGGAGCCAUAGGGGAGCCAUGGGGAGCCAUGGGGAGCCAUAGGGGAGCCAUAGGGGAGCCAUAGGGAUCUGAUGCCGUGGGGAAGCAGGGAUCUGAUGCCAUAGGGAAGCAGGGAGCGUGGGCCAUAGGGAGCCAAGGCCAUAGGGAGCCAGGGAUCUGGUGUCAUAGGGAGCCACAGGGAGCCAUAGGGAGUCAUAGGGAGCCACAGGGGGCCAGGGAUCUGGUGCCAUAGGGAACCACAGGUCCAGGGCCAUAGGGAGCCAUAAGGAGCCAUAGGGAGCCAAGGAUCUGGUGCCAUAGGGAGCCACAGAUCUAAGGCCAUACGGGCCACAGGUCCAGGGCCAUAGGGAGCCCAGGAUCUGGUGCCAUAGGGAACUAGGGGGCCAGGGCCAUAGGGAGCCAGGGAUCCCAUGCCAUGGGGAAGCAGGGAUCUGAUACCAUAGGGAAGCAGGGAGCCAGGGCCAUAGGGAGCUAAGGCCAUAGGGAGCCACAGGGGGCCAUAGGGAGCCACAGGGGGCCACGGAUCUGGUGCCAUAGGGAACCACAGGUCCAGGGCCAUAGGGAAGCAGGGAUCUGAUGCCAUAGGGAACCAGGGAGGCAGGGCCAUAGGGAGCCAAGGCCAUAGGGAGCCACAGGGGGCCAUAGGGAGCCACAGGGGGCCACGGAUCUGGUGCCAUAGGGAGCCACAGGUCCAGGGCCAUAGGGAGCCAGGGCCAUAGGGAGCCAUAAGGAGCCAUAGGGGGUCAGGGAUCUGGUGCCAUAGGGAACCACAGGUCCGGGGCCAUAGGGAGCCAAGGAUCCAACGCCGUGGGGAAGCAGGGAUCUGAUGCCAUAGGGAACCACAGAUCUAG
ensembl:lncRNA